rnacentral:rRNA from 1 species
GACGAACGCUGGCGGCGUGCUUAACACAUGCAAGUCGAACGGAAAGGCCCUGCUUUUGUGGGGUGCUCGAGUGGCGAACGGGUGAGUAACACGUGAGUAACCUGCCCUUGACUUUGGGAUAACUUCAGGAAACUGGGGCUAAUACCGGAUAGGAGCUCCUGCUGCAUGGUGGGGGUUGGAAAGUUUCGGCGGUUGGGGAUGGACUCGCGGCUUAUCAGCUUGUUGGUGGGGUAGCGGCUUACCAAGGCUUUGACGGGUAGCCGGCCUGAGAGGGUGACCGGCCACAUUGGGACUGAGAUACGGCCCAGACUCCUACGGGAGGCAGCAGGGGGGAAUAUUGCACAAUGGGCGGAAGCCUGAUGCAGCAACGCCGCGUGCGGGAUGACGGCCUUCGGGUUGUAAACCGCUUUCGCCUGUGACGAAGCGUGAGUGACGGUAAUGGGUAAAGAAGCACCGGCUAACUACGUG